rnacentral:rRNA from 1 species
UUUACCUACGGGACGCAGCAGUGGGGAAUAUUGCACAAUGGGGGAAACCCUGAUGCAGCAACGCCGCGUGAGUGAUGACGGCCUUCGGGUUGUAAAGCUCUGUCUUCAGGGACGAUAAUGACGGUACCUGAGGAGGAAGCCACGGCUAACUACGUGCCAGCAGCCGCGGUAAUACGUAGGUGGCGAGCGUUGUCCGGAUUUACUGGGUGUAAAGGGCGUGCAGCCGGGCUGACAAGUCAGAUGUGAAAUCCCGCGGCUCAACCGCGGAACUGCAUUUGAAACUGUCAGUCUUGAGUACCGGAGAG